UACGUAGGGCGCAAGCGUUGUCCGGAAUUAUUGGGCGUAAAGAGCUCGUAGGCGGUUUGUCGCGUCGGCUGUGAAAACCUAGGGCUCAACUCUGGGCUUGCAGCCGAUACGGGCAAACUAGAAUUCGGUAGGGGAGACUGGAAUUCCUGGUGUAGCGGUGAAAUGCGCAGAUAUCAGGAGGAACACCGGUGGCGAAGGCGGGUCUCUGGGCCGAUAUUGACGCUGAGGAGCGAAAGCGUGGGGAGCGAACAGG
rnacentral:rRNA from 1 species